GGGCCCACCUUGGCAUGGACCUGCCAGCUUCCGGAGCCUUCCGCCUCCACCUGUCCCCUCCUACAGAGGCCAGCACUGUGACACGUGGUCUUAUGUGCUGAUACCAGCAGCCCAGCCCGGGCAGUUCACUGUGGACCAUGGUGUGGGUAAGCUGGUCACGGGAGGGAGGGAUGGGGUGCUGGCCCACAGGGACGUGACGUCUGUGCCCCCUCAGAGCCCGGGGCAGACAGAGAGGAGACCCGGGUGGUGGACAGCGACUACACCCAGUUCGCCCUGAUGCUGUCCCGCAGACACACGAGCAGGCUGGCCAUCCUCAGGAUCAGCCUGCUGGGUGAGCCCCCCAUCCUGCCCUGGGCCUGUGUGUGGCCCUGGAGGCACCUCCUUCCAGGCUUCGGGUCAGACCCUGCCUCCCCACCCCACCUGGAGUGACUUGGGGGUACAGAUAGUUCAAUCUCCCACCUACCCAGCCCCCAACCCCCUGCCAAGUGCACAGACCUACGCUGGGCUCCCUGGGCUGCAGGCAGGAGCUGGUUGCUGCCUCCCGGGACGCUGGACCAGUUCAUCUGCCUGGGCAGAGCUCAGGGCCUCUCGGAUGACAACAUUGUCUUCCCAGAUGUGACCGGAGGUGCCCUGGACCUUAGCAGCCUGCCCUGGGUGGCAGCCCCAGCCUUACUACUCAGAGAGCCCCGGCCCCCAAGGCCUGACUCUUCUUGUGGGAGGGCGAGGCUGGUCACCCCAGGCCAGUGUCUGUUGAAGGAUGAAGCAGCUCCUGUCCGGCCCA
rnacentral:sRNA from 1 species